CACGUAGGGGGCGAGCGUUGUCCGGAUUCAUUGGGCGUAAAGAGCGUGUAGGCGGCCAGGUAGGUCGGUUGUGAAAACUGGAGGCUCAACCUUCAGAGGUCGACCGAAACCAUCUGGCUAGAGUCCGGGAGAGGAGAGUGGAAUUCCUGGUGUAGCGGUGAAAUGCGCAGAUAUCAGGAAGAACACCCGUGGCGAAAGCGGCUCUCUGGAACGUGACUGACGCUGAGACGCGAAAGCGUGGGGAAGCAAACAGG
rnacentral:rRNA from 1 species